rnacentral:rRNA from 1 species
GACGAACGCUGGCGGCGUGCUUAACACAUGCAAGUCGAACGGUAAGGCCCUUCGGGGUGCACGAGUGGCGAACGGGUGAGUAACACGUGGGUGAUCUGCCCUGCACUUCGGGAUAAGCCUGGGAAACUGGGUCUAAUACCGGAUAGGACCACUGCCUGCAUGGGUGGUGGUGGAAAGCUUUUGCGGUGUGGGAUGGGCCCGCGGCCUAUCAGCUUGUUGGUGGGGUGAUGGCCUACCAAGGCGACGACGGGUAGCCGGCCUGAGAGGGUGACCGGCCACACUGGGACUGAGAUACGGCCCAGACUCCUACGGGAGGCAGCAGUUGGGAAUAUUGCACCAUGGGCGCAAGCCUGAUGCAGCGACGCCGCGUGAGGGAUGACGGCCUUCGGGUUGUAAACCUCUUUCAGCACCGACGAAGCGCAAGUGACGGUAGGUGCAGAAGAAGGACCGGCCAACUACGUGCCAGCCGCCGCGGUAA